rnacentral:tRNA from 1 species
GGUGAGAUGGCCGAGCGGUCUAAGGCGCCAGACUAAGGAGACCAACACAUUUGAUGUGUAGAUUUAACGUAUCUGGUCACAUUGUGGCGUGGGUUCGAAUCCCACUCUCAUCA